CCGCGGCACCCGGGCUGGGGAGCGCCGCGCGAGCCCCGAGCCCAGACGCCCCCUCACCCAGCCCCACAAGCCCAGGCACAGGGGCGAGGGCCCGGACCCCACGACCCGGACCAGGGUUCGCCGUCUGAGAGGCGAGGGGUCCCUGCCACCCACCGGCUCCCAGCCUGCGGUCGCGCACAGGCGUGUGCCAUACGUGUGCUAAGAGCCCGCCCUGCCCGGGCCACGGGCGCCCCGGGUCUCCCCGGCCCGGUCACCUGGGGCCACGGCUUCGUGCUUCCUUCCGACUCAGUUUACCACCUGGGUGGCGGAGCCUGAUUCUCGGAGUAAAAGCCAGACGAAGACCCUUUGGUGCCGCCCCGGGUGACUGUCCAUCUCAGAGCUGAAACCUGCAUGCCCUCCCAACCCCUAGUUCCCUCUGCAAGCCUGCCUCGUGGGAAGCCCCAGAUCCUUGUCCAUAACAGACCAGAUGAGGCCAGAAAGGUCUUGUUCACUUCACAGAUGAAGAAACGGGAACUCCGAGAGGCUUGUGAUGUGCCCAGAGGCAGAGCUACCAUGAAUCUAAUACAACUGAUGUCCCAGAGUUCCACAGGGUCUCAGCAAUGAGUUCACAUAGUCAGAUGGUAUUGGUAAUUUGGUGGAAUACUACAGUUGAUCUGCAAUCAAUUAUGGCUUCUGCUCUUUUCCACUCUGGUGUGCAUGAUGGGUUCUGAUGUGCAUUUGGGGCUCUGACUCAGGAUCCCCCAAAGCAAGUGAGAGAUGAAUCUAUACCUCACUCAUUAGAUUUGGGAUUGGUGAGGUAUGUUUUUUUGCAGCCAUCCCAGCAUAGGGAAUGGCUGUAGGAAUACGACCACCCAUUGCACCAACUUACUUGGCUUUGUGACACAAAGUUGUAGGGCCCAAGUCGAAUCACAGCAUGAUAUGGCUUAAGACGUCUGUACUAGAGAUGUGUGUCAUGGAAGAGAAACCAGGUCAGAAAUGUAUGGAGCCAGGAGCUGGUUGGUGAAAUUGUGAGCAGAAAAAUUGUGUAAGAAAAAUGUUUUUAAGGCAUUUAGAGGUGUGUCAGGUAGUGAGUUCACACAAAUACUGUGAUUUGCCCAGAUUGUGUGAGGUCUGUGGUAUUUGUCAGUUGUUUCAGAAUUUGUAAUUUGCAGCAAUUUUCUUUUUAGCACCCUAAAUAAUCAUGUUUGUCCCUCA